UAUUAUCAAACUAAUUAUUUUACUUCUUAAAAAUUUACAUAGUCAAUUCCUCUAAUUUUAUGUAAAAGUGACUUCAGUGAACCAUUGGUGGCCAUUACAAAACCUAAACUUUUUAUCGGGACAAAUGUCCAUUUGAUGUUUCGGCGACGUUGUGAAGCUAAUCAAAAAUUGCACAAUUCGCGAGUCGCCGAAACAUUUUGCGGUUACAGUGUGACGAAAAUGAUUUUGAGAUAAAUUCUACAGUGUAGUGAUUAUUGUGUUGAGGA